UAGGGAAUCUUCGGCAAUGGGGGCAACCCUGACCGAGCAACGCCGCGUGAGUGAAGAAGGUUUUCGGAUCGUAAAGCUCUGUUGUAAGAGAAGAACGAGUGUGAGAGUGGAAAGUUCACACUGUGACGGUAACUUACCAGAAAGGGACGGCUAACUACGUGCCAGCAGCCGCGGUAAUACGUAGGUCCCGAGCGUUAUCCGGAUUUAUUGGGCGUAAAGCGAGCGCAGGCGGUUAGAUAAGUCUGAAGUUAAAGGCUGUGGCUUAACCAUAGUACGCUUUGGAAACUGUUUAACUUGAGUGCAGAAGGGGAGAGUGGAAUUCCAUGUGUAGCGGUGAAAUGCGUAGAUAUAUGGAGGAACACCGGUGGCGAAAGCGGCUCUCUGGUCUGUAACUGACGCUGAGGCUCGAAAGCGUGGGGAGCAAACAGGAUUAGAUACCCUGGUAGUCCACGCCGUNNCGAUGAGUGCUAGGUGUUGGGUCCUUUCCGGGACUCAGUGCCGCAGCUAACGCAUUAAGCACUCCGCCUGGGGAGUACGAUCGCAAGGUUG
rnacentral:rRNA from 1 species